AGCUAACGCUGGCGGCAGGCCUAACACAUGCAAGUCGAACGAAGUCUUCGGACUUAGUGGCGGACGGGUGAGUAACACGUGGGAACGUGCCUUUAGGUUCGGAAUAACUCAGGGAAACUUGUGCUAAUACCGAAUGUGCCCUUCGGGGGAAAGAUUUAUCGCCUUUAGAGCGGCCCGCGUCUGAUUAGCUAGUUGGUGAGGUAAAGGCUCACCAAGGCUACGAUCAGUAGCUGGUCUGAGAGGAUGACCAGCCACAUUGGGACUGAGACACGGCCCAAACUCCUACGGGAGGCUGCAGUGGGGAAUUUUGCGCAAUGGGCGAAAGCCUGACGCAGCCAUGCCGCGUGGAUGAUGAAGGUCUUAGGAUUGUAAAAUCCUUUCACCGGUGAAGAUAAUGACUGUAGCCGGAGAAGAAGCCCCGGCUAACUUCGUGCCAGCCGCCGCAGUAACAC
rnacentral:rRNA from 1 species